rnacentral:rRNA from 1 species
CGUAGGACGAACGCUGGCGGCGUGCUUAACACAUGCAAGUCGAACGGACCUGAUCGGGGAAGUUUCGGAUGGAACCGUGAAAGGUUAGUGGCGGACGGGUGAGUAACGCGUGGGUAACCUGCCCUGUACUGGGGGACAACAGUUGGAAACGACUGCUAAUACCGCAUAAGCUCCUUUGAUGACAUCUUCGAAGGAGGAAAGGUGGCCUCUGAAAAUGCUACCGGCACAGGAUGGACCCGCGUCUGAUUAGAUAGUUGGUGAGGUAACGGCUCACCAAGUCGACGAUCAGUAGCCGGCCUGAGAGGGUGGCCGGCCACAUUGGGACUGAGACACGGCCCAGACUCCUACGGGAGGCAGCAGUGGGGAAUCUUCCGCAAUGGGCGCAAGCCUGACGGAGCAACGCCGCGUGAGUGAAGAAGGCCCUUCGGGUCGUAAAGCUCUGUCUUAAGGGAAGAACAACAGUAGUGAGAAUAUUGCUAUUGUCUGACGGUACCUUAGGAGGAAGCUCCGGCUAACUACGUGCCAGCAGCUGC